rnacentral:lncRNA from 1 species
GUCUCACUGAGUCGCCUAGGGCCUCACUAAGUUGCUGAGGCUGGCUUUAAACUCGUGAUCCUCCUGCCUCAGCCUCCCAAGCCUCUGGGACUACAGACGUGCUGAUUCAUGCCUUUUCUUUCUCCACAUAUUUUCCCAAGUAUUUUCCUUCUCCUGAGAUGUUCUUACCUCCUCUCCCUGCUGACAAAGCUAAGGGUGGUCUUUCCUCAGCCAUGGUAACUUUUUCAGUGCCCUCUGCUCUUCAGCCUCUCAAUUUAAACAUAUAAUCUAAGUUAAAAAAAAUUAUCAAACAUAUUACCCAAUUCGUCCCCUGAGUUUCUUGGUUCAACUAGAACUGUUCCCAAAGCCCUCAUUUUGGAGCUGCUCCUCACACCGACUCAUCCUCCAAAACUUGGCCCAAGUGCCACCUCUCCUGGGGACAAGGCCCAUUUGGGACCUGGCCCCCUCCCUGACCAGCCUUUCCUCACUCACCACCCCCACAAUCACCACUUCCUCAGCCUUCUCACCAUCUCCAA